rnacentral:rRNA from 1 species
UAGUAAUUCUAGAGCUAAUACAUGCCACUAUGCCCUGACCCGCAAGGGGAUGGGUGGAUUUAUUAGAACAGAACCAACCAGGGAUAGUUUCGGCUAUCCCUGUUGUACUCUGUGAUGACUCUGGAUAACUUCACUGAUCGCAGUCGGCCUUGUGUCGGCGACGGAUCUUUCAAAUAUCUGCCCUAUCAACUGUCGAUGGUAGGUGACCUGCCUACCAUGGUGAUAACGGGUAACGGGGAAUCAGGGUUCGAUUCCGGAGAGGGAGCCUGAGAAACGGCUACCACUUCCAAGGAAGGCAGCAGGCGCGAAAAUUACCCACUCCCGGCACGGGGAGGUAGUGACGAAAAAUACGAAUACGGGACUCAAUCGAGGCUCCGUAAUUCGAAUGAGUACACUUUAAAUCCUUUAACGAGGACCAAUUGGAGGGCAAGUCUGGUGCCAGCAGCCGCGGUAACUCCAGCUCCAAAAGCGUAUAUUAAAGUUGCUGCAGUUAAAAAGCUCGUAGUUGGAUCUGGGUUGUGUGGUCACAUACCGUUGCUCGUUCUACUGUCUUUGAUUACGAUCAAGACGGGAGUUCGGGUCGGUGUAGUGACCGUGCAACCUUUCAGUCGUGUCUGUGUAAACAGGUGUUAGCUUGGUCAAUAGGUUCGCCCUAUUGGCCUGCUAGCAUGCUUCCGGAUGCCUUUAAACGGGUGUCGGGGGCAGACGACACUUUUACUUUGAACAAAUUUGAGUGCUCAAAGCAGGCUUGUAUGCCUGAAAAUUCUUGCAUGGAAUAAUGGAAUAGGACUUCGGUUCUAUUUUGUUGGUUUUCGGAUCCGAAGUAAUGGUUAAGAGGGACAGACGGGGGCAUUUGUAUGGCGGUGUUAGAGGUGAAAUUCUUGGAUCGCCGCCAGACAAACUACAGCGAAAGCAUUUGCCAAGAAUGUUUUCAUUGAUCAGGAGCGAAAGUCAGAGGAUCGAAGACGAUCAGAUACCGUCCUAGUUCUGACCAUAAACGAUGCCAACUGACGAUCCGCGGUGGUUCUUUAAUUGGCUCCGCGGGCAGUCCCCGGGAAACCCUUAAGUCUUUGGGCUCCGGGGGAAGUAUGGUUGCAAAGCUGAAACUUAAAGGAAUUGACGGAAGGGCACCACCAGGAGUGGAGCCUGCGGCUUAAUUCGACUCAACACGGGAAAACUCACCCGGCCCGGACACUGUGAGGAUUGACAGAUUGAUAGCUCUUUCUUGAUUCGGUGGUUGGUGGUGCAUGGCCGUUCUUAGUUGGUGGAGCGAUUUGUCUGGUUAAUUCCGAUAACGAACGAGACUUUGACCUACUAAAUAGUUCGCCUGUCCUCUGUGCUCGUGCAGAUUGCGGCUUCUACUGCCUCUUCGAGGGGUGAUAGGGUCGUUAAUCGGCGGGUACGG